AUUGAACGCUGGCGGCGGGCCUAACACAUGCAAGUCGAACGGUAACAGGAAGAAGCUUGCUUCUUUGCUGACGAGUGGCGGACGGGUGAGUAAUGUCUGGGAAACUGCCUGAUGGAGGGGGAUAACUACUGGAAACGGUAGCUAAUACCGCAUAACGUCGCAAGACCAAAGAGGGGGACCUUCGGGCCUCUUGCCAUCGGAUGUGCCCAGAUGGGAUUAGCUAGUAGGUGGGGUAACGGCUCACCUAGGCGACGAUCCCUAGCUGGUCUGAGAGGAUGACCAGCCACACUGGAACUGAGACACGGUCCAGACUCCUACGGGAGGCAGCAGUGGGGAAUAUUGCACAAUGGGCGCAAGCCUGAUGCAGCCAUGCCGCGUGUAUGAAGAAGGCCUUCGGGUUGUAAAGUACUUUCAGCGGGGAGGAAGGGAGUAAAGUUAAUACCUUUGCUCAUUGACGUUACCCGCAGAAGAAGCACCGGCUAACUCCGUG
rnacentral:rRNA from 1 species